GGGGGUGUAGCUCAGUGGUAGAAUGCACGCUUCAAAUGUGUGAAGUCCUGGGUUCAAUCCCCGGCAUCUCCA